GGUUUGCAAGCACACCCCCCCCCCCCCCCCCCCCCCCUUUCAUUUUCCCUUCAUUUUUCUGUGUGAUUUGGUAGAUCUGGUUGAUUGUCUCGUUGUAUUCGUCUACUUGCAUUUGUCGUGUGUGGUACUUUUUGUUGCACAUGUAAAUUUAGCGGUGGAUCCCUCUUGUCUAUUUUGAUUUCUUCUUCCGAAUGUAGAUGUAGUUUUCCUGUUGAGGCCUUUCAAUUAGCGGUGUUGAUCCAUUGGCGGCUGCUAGUGUGGUAGCUUGAUGUUUGUCUGGUCUAGCCUGUUUUUGAUGUAGAUGUGUGGUUAUCUAGUGUAAUUUCUGAUGUGGAUGUAUGGUUGCUUCGCUUUUCACCUGUUGUUUGAUUCUGAACUGAAUUUCUUCAGUUAAGUAAUAGGUAUUUGGUCUGUACUACUGCAGUGUAAUUUUGAGUGGAUUUCACUGUAAUUAAGUAACAGCUGUUUGGCUACAAUAGACUGCAAUAGUGAAUGGCCAUUGUAAAUGUAAUGUUCGGUUUAAUUUUACAGUGAUAUCUCUACUGUAGUUUUAGUCUAUAGUAGUCUAUCUUACACUUGUUUUUCACUGUAAUUGGCAAGUGUAAAUGUAUUAUUUAGGUUUAUUCUGGACUGAAUUUCUUCAAUUAAGCAACAGUUGUUUGGUCUGUACUAUAGUUAUAUCUCUAUUUAAAUUUCACUGAUAUCUCUGUGUAACUUUCAGUGUAGAUGGUGGUACAUUUAACUGAAUUGUGUGCUUUCAUUGUUUUAUACUUUUGUUUACAUGGUGGUACAUUAACUGAAUUUUCCAGUACAUAGAGAAAAUAAUUUAAUGAUGAUAGAUGUAGGCAUGCAAAUGUUGAAUCUCCUAGUCGGUUGAGUCUCCUGAUGUGUACGUGUUGGUCUGAAAAAAAUUCUGUUUUAGUUUCAGUGUUUCGGACUGUAAUUUCUAGUGUAAUUUCGAGUGGAUUUUCAUUAUAGUUUCAUUUUUUAGUCUAGUGUAAUGUAUUAGCACAAAUGUUGUUUUCAGUUCAAAUUUACAGUGAUAUUUUUUACUGUUGGUUCAGGUAUAUAGACUUUUCUCUCACUGUAAUUUUGUUUCUUGUAACUUCCAAUCUGUGUUAAACUGAACAAGGGCUUAACCCCACCAUUAAUUUACACUAUAAAUUAGUGUAGCUAACCUGUAAUUUUUGUACUUACAGUCUAUGUACUGGAAUUUUCCGGUCUAACAUGCAGUGUAAUUACACUGGACUUUCAGUGUAAUUAAUUUGUUUAUUAUGUGUAACCAACCUGAAUUUUUGUACUUACAGUCUAUGCACUGAAAUUUUCCAGUCUAAUUUGCAAUGUAUUCAGUGUAAUUAACCUAUUUUUUAGUUACAGUCUAUGUACUAAAAUUUUGCAGUCUAAAUUGCAGUGUAAUUACACUGUAAAUUUAGUGUAAUUUGCAAUGUAAUUACACUCAGUGUUUAACCUGUGUGUUAAGUGUAAUUAACCUGAAUUUUUGUUCUUACUGUCUAUGUACUGUAUUUUUCCAAGAUAAAUUGCAGUGUAAUUCUACUGUAAUUUUUUUAUCACAUUUAUGUCAUAUAAGGCCUGUGGGCAGGGACCCCUUGUUAUUUAUCCUAAUGGCAGUGUAAAUUGUUCAGAGAAGCCACAUAGACGAGUUUCCUUUGCAGCACAUUGUAUAUCAGUGUUGAGUUUUCAUCAAAAAUGGGAGGAGGCUUGUGUAUCAUGAUCAUCGACUCCAUCUGUCUAUGAUAUACUUGUCAGAUGUCAUGAGGUAGGAGAGAGAUCUUGGAGGAGUGAAUGCAUAAGAGUUCGGUGUUUACCUGUGUUUUUUCUGCAUCUCCAUCCAGAUUUGUGUCCCAGAUCAUGGAGGAAUUACCCUCUCUGCUGGUGUGUUUACAUUGCAUUUUCUUAGUGGAUUUAUAGUGUAAUUCCUACUGGAUUUCGAGUGUAAUUCUAAGUGGAUUUACAGUGUAAUUCUAAGUGAAUUUACACUGUAAUUCCUACUAUAUUUAAAGUGUUUUUCUUA